rnacentral:rRNA from 1 species
AUACGUAGGUUGCAAGCGUUGUCCGGAUUUACUGGGUGUAAAGGGCGUGUAGGCGGAGGAGCAAGUCAGAUGUGAAAUCCCGGGGCUUAACCCCGGAACUGCAUUUGAAACUGUUCCCCUUGAGUAUCGGAGAGGCAAGCGGAAUUCCUAGUGUAGCGGUGAAAUGCGUAGAUAUUAGGAGGAACACCAGUGGCGAAGGCGGCUUGCUGGACGACAACUGACGCUGAGGCGCGAAAGCGUGGGGAGC